rnacentral:rRNA from 1 species
GAGUUUGAUCGUGGCUCAGAACGAACGGUGGCGGCGGGCCUAACACAUGCAAGUCGAACGCACUCUUCGGAGUGAGUGGCAGACGGGUGAGUAACGCGUGGGAACCUUCCCAAUGGUGCGGAAUAGCCCAGGGAAACUUGGGGUAAUACCGCAUACGCCUACGGGGAAGAUUUAUCGCCAUUGGAUGGCCGCGUCGGAUUAGCUUGUUGGUGAGGUAAUGGCUCACCAAGGCAACGAUCCGUAGCUGGUUUGAGAGAAUGACCAGCCACACUGGGACUGAGACACGGCCCAGACUCCUACGGGAGGCAGCAGUGGGGAAUCUUGGACAAUGGGCGAAAGCCUGAUCCAGCCAUGCCGCGUGAGUGACGAAGGCCUUAGGGUUGUAAAGCUCUUUUGGCGGGGACGAUAAUGACGGUACCCGCAGAAUAAGUCCCGGCUAACUUCGUGACAGCCGCGCCGUAAU